rnacentral:rRNA from 1 species
UCAGACGAUGCGUCAUGCAUAUCAAUAAGCGGAGGAAAAGAAACUAACAAGGAUUCCCUUAGUAACGGCGAGUGAAGCGGGAAGAGCUCAAAUUUGAAAUCUUCAAGGUUUUACCUUGACGAAUUGUAGUUUAAAGAAGUGUUUUCGGUUAGAGGAGUAGUAAAAGUUCUUUGGAAUAGGACAUCAUAGAGGGUGAGAAUCCCGUAUUUGACCAUUAUCUCCAGCUUUGUGAUACACUUUCAAAGAGUCGGAUUGUUUGGGAAUGCAGUCCAAAAUGGGUGGUAAAUUUCAUCUAAAGCUAAAUAUUGGCGAGAGACCGAUAGCGAACAAGUACCGUGAGGGAAAGAUGAAAAGAACUUUGAAAAGAGAGUUAAACAGUACGUGAAAGUGUCAAAAGGGAAGCGUUUGACACCAGUGUUGUUUUCUCGAAAAUCAAUUAAAAGAUUGGAUUUAUGCAAGUUGUAUUGACCUUAUCAGCUUGCUUCACUCUUGGUUCCUGCUUUUUUGAUGCACUUUUCGGUUAACAAGUCAACAUCAAUUUCCUUUGUUGUAAAAGGGUCAGAAUGGAAGGUGGCUUCAAUCUUCGGUAGAAGUGUUUAUAGCCUUUGAUCUCUGCAGUCGGAGAGACUGAGGUCUGCAGCGUAGAUCCUUCGGGGUUAGAUACAUUUGUGCUAAGCUACAGCUUUUCAUAGACAACUUGUUGACUAUGAUUAGGUCAUUGUAACUUACCUCGCUGAGUGCUAUUUUACCUACGCUUAGGAUGUUGAUAUGCAUGACUGAUA